UACAGGGGGGGCAAGCGUUGUUCGGAAUUACUGGGCGUAAAGGGUCUGUAGGUGGCCAACUAAGUCAGACGUGAAAUCCCUCAGCUUAACUGGGGAACUGCGUCUGAUACUGGAUGGCUUGAGUGUGGGAGAGGAAUGCGGAAUUCCAGGUGUAGCGGUGAAAUGCGUAGAGAUGUGGAGGAAUACCGAUGGCGAAGGCAGCCUUCUGGGCCAACACUGACGCUCAUGCACGAAAGCGUGGGGAGCAAACAGG
rnacentral:rRNA from 1 species